UACGAAGGGAGCUAGCGUUGUUCGGAAUCACUGGGCGUAAAGCGCACGUAGGCGGAUGUGUCAGUCAGGGGUGAAAUCCCGGGGCUCAACCUCGGAACUGCCUUUGAUACAGCACGCCUCGAGUCCGGAAGAGGUGAGUGGAAUUCCUGGUGUAGCGGUGAAAUGCGUAGAGAUCAGGAAGAACACCGGUGGCGAAGGCG
rnacentral:rRNA from 1 species